GUGGAGGCUGUUUGCAAAUUAAACCGGAAACAAAGAUGCCAAACAGUCCAUUUAAAGGGCCCUUGAAGCUCUCACCUGAGAUGCCUGUUAUACGUUCCUCCUCCAGCUUUGCUGAAGGACGAUGUUUUAAGCAGCUCUUCCUCCUAAAGAAGUUAUCAGCUUGGGUUUAAAUUACCUCUUGGGAGGUAAAUCCUCAACUAGAGGCAACCCUGAAUCAUCGGAACAUGUUGGGGUCAGACACCUUCAGAUAAGCAUCAGUGCAACAACAAGAGAGCUUUCUUACAGCAAAAUGGAAAUUUAGACCAAGAGACACAAAGUACCGGGAAAAAACAGAAGAAACCUGGUGUGCAGUUUCUUUUGCAAAAGAAGAGGACGCUACACGGUUUGAUUUCUCUUGUUUAGAGCUUUGUCAGCAUUGUUUGUUCCACUUCAAGAAGACAUUUUCAGAAGUUGUGAAAAUCACCGAUAACAUCAACGCCAUCAUCAGAAAAGCAGCCACCUGCCCACUGCGAAUUAUAGACGUGAUAAACCAGGGACUACAUGCAAAUGGGCGAGGAUGUGGCCCACUCCCUGAAGGAUGAACGCUCUCUGCAAGAGAAACCCCAGCACUGAAAUUCCUGCCUGCCGAAGGACCCUCCAUCCUGGGCAACUGACAGCUGGUCACCCUACAAAAGAUAUCUUGUCUCUUAGAACCUAAGGCAAACUGUAACAAUAACAGAAAAAAGGGUGAAAUUAUUGAGCCAUAACUUCCUUGAGGCCUCUAAUGUGAAGAAUCUUUAUCAGCUUGAGGAAUUUCUAAUACUUUUAAUUUUCAGCAGCACUAUGUGAAAAAUUGAGUAGGGGUCCCUGUAGAGAAGAUCAGAAAAGCGUAGAUCUGGAAUUGCCAUCUUAACUGACAGGGAGGUGUGGCAAGUGGAGAUAUCAAACAAGUAAAUGAAAAUUACUUACAAAUAAACAAGUUUCGUGAAUUUGUUCAUUAUUUUUCCUGUCUCACGCACAUUGGCUGCCA
rnacentral:lncRNA from 1 species